rnacentral:rRNA from 1 species
AUGAAGAACGCAGCAAACUGCGAUACCUAGUGUGAAUUGCAGAAUUCAGUGAAUCAUCGAGUCUUUGAACGCAAAUGGCGCUCUCGGUUUCACCGGGAGCACGUCUGUCUGAGC